ACUAUCCAUUAUCUGGAGAACACAAAUUUAUAUCACAGACUCUUCAAUUAAGAGAGAGAGAUAGAGUGAGCGACGAGAUAUAGAGAGAAAGAGAGAGAGAGAGAGAGAGAGAGAGAGAGUUUGUUCGAUUCUUCUAGUGGCGGCGACAUGAAGAAGAAGAAGUCAAGAGGAGUUUUGGGUGAAAACGCAAACCGGUGUUGUGUGUUCGAUUUCGGACGAUGAUGGAUGAUUCACACUCAGAUUUUUUCGGAGGAUGAAGUUUGUGUAAGAUCCAGAACACCAAACAUGGUGUCCGGCCGGCGUGUAUCAAACUGUUCGAUUGUUAAAAUCGAAUCUACAGUUUGAUGUAUUCCCCAUUCUGAUUCAGCAAAUUCAAAGCCAAAACAACAAGUCAGAGGUGGUGAAACGAAACAGGUGUGUGUGUUCCAACCAUGACGAUGUUGACUCAGAUCUUUGUCAAGGACAGAACCAAGUAUACUCAGAUAUAUAUGAUGCUUUUCCUUCCCCUUCAUGUUAAGGAUUGAUACUGAAUUAUGGACCCAAAUGAUGGCAACAAAAUCUGAAUUAUGAAUUAUGCUUCUUCUUAUUGGUCUGUGCUACUGAAGUGUUAGGGAUUAUGACUCAGACAAUGGAAUACCCCUCUAUUUGCUCUGUGCAACAGAAGUAGAACUCGACAAGGAACCAGAAUUGUCUCAAGCCAAAGGCAGUAAUCAUAAAAUUGUAUAAGGGAAACGAGUGUUAACUACCAAUCUGAUUCAUCAAAAUCAAAGCCAUCAAAAGAAAAAAAACUAGAUGGUGGAAAAUCAAGACAUGUGUGCCAAUUAUUGUUUCCAUGGCGUUUCUUCUUCUUCAACUUUCUCUCAUCUGAUUUGAUCGACCAACUAAAGUGAUGAUCGGAGGAGCCGGAUGAUGGCGUUUCUUCUUCUGAUUUGACCGACCGCCAAGUACAGGUCAGAGAGAUGGAUUGAAGAAUGAAGAAGAAGAAUACUCAAGUCUGCUUUAUCUCAGAGAGAUGGAUUGAAGAGUGCAGAAGAAGAAGACUUAAGCAGACUGCUUAAGUGAUCCUAAUGGAAGUUUUAUGAAGACACUCUGAAUUUUGAGUUACUACUGUACGUGGGCUUUCAUCAUCUCCUCCAUGGCAACAUUUGAAGGUCUGAUUGACAACUAAUGUUUUGCUGCGACAUUUUGGUUUCUACUCCCUUGUCUUGU